rnacentral:rRNA from 1 species
GACGAACGCUGGCGGCGUGCUUAACACAUGCAAGUCGAACGGAAAGGCCCUGCUUUUGUGGGGUGCUCGAGUGGCGAACGGGUGAGUAACACGUGAGUAACCUGCCCUGGACUUUGGGAUAACUUCAGGAAACUGGGGCUAAUACCGGAUAGGAGCUUCUGCUGCAUGGUGGUGGUUGGAAAGUUUCGGCGGUUAGGGAUGGACGCCCGGCUUAUCAGCUUGUUGGGGGGAUAUGGGCUUACGAAGGCAUUGACGGGUAGCCGGCAUGAGAGGGUGACCGGCCACAAUGGGACUGAGAUACGGACCAGACUGCUAUGGGAGGCAGCAGUGGGGAAUAUUGCACAAUGGGCGGAAGCCUGAUGCAGAGACGCCGCGUGCGGGAUGACGGCCUUCGGGUUGUAAACCGCUUUCAGCUGAUACGAAGCGUGAGUGACGGUAACGAGAGAAGAAGCACCGGCUAACUACGUG